CCCCCCCCCCCCCCCCCCCCCCCCCCCCCCGGGGCGGGGUGGGGGUGUGUGUUUAGACCCGCGUCAUUUUAUAAUAAUUUUUCAGACACCGUUGUCGUUGUCCAGCGUGUGUGACCAGGUUGUUAAAGACUGGGCUAUUUUUGUUCAUACAAGCUGGAUCUCUGCGAGGUUUAAUUUAACCCCGUGCGGCUCAUCACAUUUCUUUCACCGGAAAAGUACCUUUCUGGAGAGCCUGCCGUCAGGUCGGUACUGCUCUCUAUUGCGGGACCGAAAAGGUCAAGUAAGUGGCUGAGCAAUGUGUGACACUACAAAAACUGAUGGACUCCCAAGUCAUGGCUGCAAUGGUUGUUUGAAACAAGAAACAGAUACCCUCAUGGUGUCAUUCAUGUCUGAUCACUGGGAAUGGGAGUUUGAAUGAAGGUGAAAGAAAAAGCCUAUAGAGAACUGGGAAUGGUUUGUCUCUUAAGAGGGGUAUAAUGACAUUUUUAAAGCUUUUACCAAAUAUCAAGACAUGUGAUAAGAGUUUAUGGAUGGGAAAUUGAUUGAAGGAUCGUGA
rnacentral:lncRNA from 1 species